CGGGAGCAAAUCAGAAACUUAGAGAAUUUUUCAGAAUACACUAAAAAUUUUCAAAGCUGUAGGGGUCACAUGGCCUUGUGGCCAGGCCGUGUCUUAGGCUGUGUGGAGGACACGGCCUCUGGCCACGGGCGUGUGCCUUGGCUGUGUGCAUCUAAUUGGUUGCUGACGCUAGAAACAGAAUGUCAAGGUUUUUACACACGGGUUGCGACAUGGGCGUGUCAUGGCCGUGUGAGGGAUAAGUGC
rnacentral:lncRNA from 1 species